AAACCGACACCCAGAGAGGUUAGAUGAUUUAUCCAAGGUCACAGAUAAUAAGUGGCUCAGCCUGGAUUCAUACUUGAGACCUAUAAAGGAAAGAGGUAAAGAACCUAAAGAGAAGAAGGAGGAUUUGUACUCAAGCUGAAGGAGACAGAGAAGGACUUCUAGAAAAGAAGGUGAUGAGUUCUGUGUGAUGCCUGGUGACUCAUUGCUGAAGUGAGGCAACUAUUUGUGGAUCAGAUAACAGCAAUGAAGAGGUUUGCUUUCUUGCUGGUAAAUGUCUCUAAGAGGUGACAGAGAACAUUCCAGACACUUGAGGGCCGUUAGGUACAGUGGAAAUAACACUGGCUCCUAAGCAAGACAACCUGGGAUUGAAUCCUGCCUCUACGUCCUAUUAUCUAUGUAACCUAAGCUACUCUCCUUUGGACUUCUCCACCAUGCCCCCAGGAACUUUGCCAUACUACAAGACCAAAUCAGCCUUAAUACUUAUACCUCAUCACACUCUCUGCCCUUGGGAACCCUCUGAUUGGAAGGCAGAGUGAAGAGCUCCUCCCAAAGCCUCCAUUUAAGGAAAACGCUCAGGCCAGCCAUCUCUUCAUUUCCCACCUGGCUACAAUACUUUGGACUUCUCUAUUAUGCCUCCAUGCCCUCCCCCCUUUCAGCUUCCUUGUGGGUGCUAUCUUUCCCAUUAGAU